UAUAUCAUGUUAACCUAACUUUCAUCAUAUACAAAAUAUCGGCUGCAAACAAAUAAUACGAUCAUCUUUCUAUAUUUUGGUUUUAAGUCUAAUAAUAGUCAGACUGAAAAAUUUUAUGUUGUCUUAAUGUAGCCCAUAACCAAACUAUACUUCAAAUUAUAAGUUUAAUCAUAUUUUUAAUUGUAUUUUUAAUAUAUUAAUUUUCCAUCUUAUGUUGUCAAAAAGAAAGUAAAAAU
rnacentral:lncRNA from 1 species